rnacentral:pre_miRNA from 1 species
CUACUACUCCCUCCGUCCUAAAAUUCUUGUCUUACAUUUGUCUAAAUACGGAUGUAUCAAGUCAUGUUUUAGUAUUAGAUACAUUCAUAUCUAGACAAAUCUAAGACAAGAAUUUUGGGACGGAGGGAAUACAAC